UACAGAGGGUGCAAGCGUUAAUCGGAAUCACUGGGCUUAAAGCGUUCGUAGGCGGGCUUGCAGGCGCGUUGUGAAAGCCCCCGGCUCAACCGGGGAACUGCUUCGCGAACCGCAAGUCUUGAGUCAAGUAGGGGCGGUCGGAACGAUAGGUGGAGCGGUGAAAUGCGUAGAUAUCUAUCGGAACGCCAAAGGUGAAGACAGGCCGCUGGGCUUGUACUGACGCUGAGGAACGAAAGCGUGGGGAGCAAACGGG
rnacentral:rRNA from 2 species